rnacentral:rRNA from 1 species
GAUGAACGCUGGCGGCGUGCCUAAUACAUGCAAGUCGAGCGAACGGACGAGAAGCUUGCUUCUCUGAUGUUAGCGGCGGACGGGUGAGUAACACGUGGAUAACCUACCUAUAAGACUGGGAUAACUUCGGGAAACCGGAGCUAAUACCGGAUGAUAUUUUAAACCGCAUGGUUCAAAAGUGAAAGACGGUCUUGCUGUCACUUAUAGAUGGAUCCGCGCUGCAUUAGCUAGUUGGUAAGGUAACGGCUUACCAAGGCAACGAUGCAUAGCCGACCUGAGAGGGUGAUCGGCCACACUGGAACUGAGACACGGUCCAGACUCCUACGGGAGGCAGCAGUAGGGAAUCUUCCGCAAAGGGCGAAAGCCUGACGGAGCAACGCCGCGUGAGUGAUGAAGGUCUUCGGAUCGUAAAACUCUGUUAUUAGGGAAGAACAUAUGUGUAAGUAACUGUGCACAUCUUGACGGUACCUAAUCAGAAAGCCACGGCUAACUACGUG